ACGGAAGGCAGCAGUGGGGAAUAUUGCACAAUGGGGGAAACCCUGAUGCAGCAACGCCGCGUGAAGGAAGAAGGCCUUUGGGUCGUAAACUUCUGUCCUUGGGGACGAACACAAUGACGGUACCCUUGGAGGAAGCCCCGGCUAACUACGUGCCAGCAGCCGCGGUAAUACGUAGGGGGCGAGCGUUAUCCGGAAUUAUUGGGCGUAAAGAGUGCGUAGGCGGUUUCUUAAGCGAGGGGUGAAAGGCAAUGGCUUAACCAUUGUUAGCCUUUCGAACUGGGAGACUUGAGUGCAGGAGAGGAAAGCGGAAUUCCUAGUGUAGCGGUGAAAUGCGUAGAUAUUAGGAGGAACACCAGUGGCGAAGGCGGCUUUCUGGACUGUUACUGACGCUGAGGCACGAAAGUGUGGGGAGCAAACAGGAUUAGAUACCCUGGUA
rnacentral:rRNA from 1 species